CUAUGUCGGCGACCGGCGCGCGGGUGCGUAACGCGUAUGCAACCUACCCAUUACAGGGGGAUAACACUGAGAAAUCGGUACUAAUACCCCAUAACAUCCAGGGAGGCAUCUUCUUGGGUUGAAAACUCCGGUGGUAAUGGAUGGGCAUGCGUUGUAUUAGUUAGUUGGUGGGGUAACGGCUCACCAAGACAACGAUACAUAGGGGGACUGAGAGGUUAACCCCCCACAUUGGUACUGAGACACGGACCAAACUCCUACGGAAGGCAGCAG
rnacentral:rRNA from 1 species